rnacentral:rRNA from 1 species
GAGUUUGAUCAUGGCUCAGAUUGAACGCUGGCGGCAUGCCUAACACAUGCAAGUCGAACGGCAGCACUGGGAGCUUGCUCCCUGGUGGCGAGUGGCGGACGGGUGAGUAACGCGUAGGAAUCUGCCUCAUAGCGGGGGACAACUCGGGGAAACUCGAGCUAAUACCGCAUACUACUCGAGAGAGGAAAGCAGGGGACCUUCGGGCCUUGCACUAUGAGAUGAGCCUGCGUUGGAUUAGCUAGUUGGUAGGGUAAAGGGACCUACCAAGGCGACGAUCCAUAACUGGUUUGUAGAGGAUGACCAGUCACACUGGGACUGAGACACGGCCCAGACUCCUACGGGAGGCGGCAGUGGGGAA